ensembl:lncRNA
CUCCACCACACGCAGUGAUUAGAUUUCUGAAGAAGGGGAACACCGGCUAUCGAGUAAUGAAGGCUAGAGCGUCGCCAUGUGCUCUUCAUUCUUCCGUCCGUCAGCGUCAAUCAGCUGUUAGGCGCUCUUCCAAACCCACGGCUUUCCAUCAGAUCACUUCCCACUCUACGGACACACGCAGGCUCUCUUUCUCUCUGUUUCUGCCCAAUUUCGACGACGUUUCCUCCCAAAUGGGCCUCCCUUCGUUUCGCCCGGCUCCUCCGCCGCUGACCACCUGGCCGGACGCUCCCAGGCACAACCACCACCAGCAGCAGCAGCGAGGCAGGCGCGCCGAAGACCGGAGCCGGCGAGGAAGGGAAGAGCGGACAGAAGCGCCGCUUCACCUUCAUCCAGAGGCGGCCGCGGAGAAGGGGAGGGUCGAGAAACGAGGCAACGAGACGACGGACGAGGAAAACGGCUCCUUUGCAAGCCGGCAGCUCCCCUGCACCCCGCCCCGCCCUUAGAGGCCGACGAGCACUUGGCCGCUGUGCCACCAAGGCCAAGAGUUGCUGCUCUUUCAUCAGCGGAGACUCUGCAAACGGACGUCCGCGUUAAUACUGAAAGAAAUGCAGCAGUUACAAGUGGAAUCGGGGGCAUUUGAACCUUCUGACGGAGUGUUUCUUGGUACUAUUUUUAUCUCCCCCGCUUGGCUUCAGCCCUAAUUCGCUGCUCGCUCUGAAAAUUCGGGGAAUGGGAGUCCGAAGGUCGUAAAGGGGCCGUAAGUCCUCGAGCCAGACUUUACAAGGGGCCCGCAGCUCCGCUUCUACUGGUCCCGAGAUCAGGAAGCGGAAAAGCCCCAGAACACAAACGGCAUCUGCGCUGCCAUUUUUUCUCUGCGCCGCGCAGCCUUUGCCUUCGCCGUUGGCUCCGGGUUCCUCACUCUCGGGGCAGCCCUGCCUGGUCAACGGGCAGCCCGGAAACGGGAGCUGCGAAGCGGUGCGAGGAGAGAAGCGGAAGAGGCUCCCCAUUCCACUCCCCCCGCCCCGGACAGAACGUGGCUCAAUGACUGCAGAUUUUUUCUCCAUCGGGAUGUUUUUAAAAAAUUUCAAUGUUUCACUGAACGAGUGUCGAACAUUGGUUUUUGUCCCCCAAGAGCUCCGACAUAAUCUAUCCCCCGAUAAUCCUGAGCCCCUUCUUUGAUAUUUUAAACAAGAUUCCUACAGUUAUAAUAAGGAAGCAAAAAAAACCCCACCUUUAUUUAUGGAUUGAUUUAUUCUUCACGUUCUUCACUUUCU